AUACCACAGAGCACUCGGGAAGAGUUUUAGGGGCCAGCUCAAUUUCCAGCCUCACAACAUAAAACGGGACGGAUACAUUUCCCUUUGUCAGAGUGGAGGGUUUUGCCUCCACUCCACUCCACAAGGCGGACUUCAUUCCAGAGGGGAAAUCUUGGCACCAACUCCAUUGUGCCUUCUCAGUUUCCUUCUGGAUUUCCUGUUGCCUGGGAGCCUCGGAAUCCACGGAGCGGCUCGCUUCCCUUCCCCGGGCUCCAGGGGUGCCUGCAGAGCUGAGCUGGGAUGCAGGACCGACGCCGAGAAAGUGUACCAGGCUGGGUGUGGCAAGGGAAAUCAUCACAAUCCAAAAGAUGCUUCUCCCAGCCUGUGGGUAUAACUAAGCCUCGCAGUGAUGCCUUGCACUGAGACCCUGUUGCCAUAAGACCAGCCAGGAAAGGAGAGGAGUCUGUGCGUCACUUCCCAGGAGGCUUCGCUUCCUCCACACCCACCCAGGGCCUUGUUUGGCCAAACUUAGGCACGGAGAAGAAGGAAAGGGGGCGUACCAAAGCAGAGACACAUCCCAAAGGAGGGGCGCACAUCGCAUGGAGCUCAUUUCUAGUCACCAUCCAGCCCCAGCUGCUGACUCUCAUGGAUUCAUUCAGUACUCGUGUGCGAAGCGCCACGAAUGGAGCGGAGAGGAUUCAUAGAGAAGUGACAUAGAGUGGUCCCCCCGCUUAGUGGCAGGAGCCGCGCCCGAGACCCCCCACCGUGGAUGCCUGAAACCGCGGAGACUAAUGAAACCUACGUACACUGCGCUCUCUCCUGUCCACACAGAACCUGCAAGAAAGUUGACUUCAUAAAGUAGGCACAGUACAAGAGUAACAGCAAACACUCAUAAUAAAAUAGGACAACUGUAACAAUGUAGUGUAAUAAAAGUUAUGUAACUGUGGCCUGCCCUAAAAUAGCCUACUGUGCUAUACUCCCCCUCCUUCUUUUUUUUUUUUUUUAAAGAUUUUAUUUA